UCCACCAAAAGGCCAGGGAGGACCCUGCUAGUCUGACUUGGGACACCUGGCUGCUGUCAGGGUUAGGAUUAAGUAGUAAUGCUACUGCCUGCAGGGCCCUGUUCAUGAGGAAAAGGUUAUGACCAGAGCCAUGGACCCUCUGCCCCACGGUUGGCCAUUCUGGGGGGAACAUCUUGUGCUUUGAUGGUUUCCUAAAAAUGGGAAAGAAAUCACAUAACAGAGAAUGCUGGCCUGACCUCGUGGGGUUUCCCAUCAGUACCAAGAAGUCUUAGAUGACUGUGGAACAGGUCCACCUACCUGUACCUCUGCAUUGCCCGUUACUGACAAUGUCCAGAGACAAGGGGUCACCUGGAGCCACAGGUACUUGCAAAUUUAGUACUUUAUCAAUAUUCUUAUGCAAGUUUUAUCCAUUCAUUUGUUCAUUCGCCAACUGAAUAAUAAUUAUCUGCAGUCUCUCAUGACUCAGAGUCUCUCCACUGACCUCUGUGACCACAGGCAAGAGCUUCACCUUACUGUCCUUGAUGUUUCCAUCUGUAAACUGGGGUUAUGAUAAUGGUGCCUAUCUCCUAGCAUUGAUGGGAGGAAUAAAAUGAAAGUAAAUGUAAUUUGCUUCCAAGGAUUCCAGGGACACAGUAUGUGCCAGGUAACUGUUAGUUAACAUCAUCAUUGUAGUCAUUAGGGCUAUGAUUCUGGUCGUGUUCCGGGCACUGUGGACAAAGAGAGGACUGAGUCAAGGAGGCCACAUCUGCUGCCACAAGGCCUUAGCCAUGGCAGUGGGUCCUGGAGCACAAAGAAGGGAAGCUUCCCCCUGGGUGAGUAGUCUUUUGUCAGGCCUGUUCCCAGCCCCCAGCUCUGUCCAGUCCAGGCCUUCCAGGGCCGGCCGGCCCCUCCCCCACGCCUCCUCUACCUCGGAGCACGCAGCAGCACGCACUCAGGCUGCUCCAAGAGGUGACAAAAAAUUAAAAUUAAAGCUAAAUUAAAAAGAAGAUUCCCAUUUCCUCUCCCCAUCACACUUCCCACCUUAAUUUUAUCGCAGGUUCCUUCUCGUUUUAUUGACUUUUAGAAGCAUCACCAGAAGAUUUAGUGUGGAGCAGGACAGGAGGCAAUAAAAACGUGCUCUUCUUCUGGGCUCCACUGAAUUCUGCUGGGCGGGGAGGGGCAGGUAGGGAAGGUGUGUGACGCCCCCGGAGGCAGCGGGCAGGGGGAGAGGACUCCCACUGUCCUUUGGUCGGCUUUGGGCUUUUGUCCCCUCCCUGGGCCAGUUUCCUGGUGACAGAGAAACAGUCCCAUCCACUAAUCAGGCCAGCAAAUAGACAGUAGAAUUUACUUUCCUUGGUUUAGCUUUAAAAACAAUCCUAGAUUUGUCCUCUCCCCCAUUGCCACCCCUAUUUCCUGGGACCAAGAUUCCCCAUCCACCAAACGGAUCUUUAUUUAAUUUUAUUUUAUUUCAUGCUCUGUUGGUGCAAACAUUUCCCCCUUCUCCCCACGCUCCCUCCUUUCUUCCUCUGUUUAGUUUUUUGCCCCCCCCCUUCUAAUAUCAUUUUCACCCACCCACAGUGACGCUGCGUGUUUGUAAUUUUCUCCUGACCCUAAUGGCUUCGGUUUCCCUUCAGUAUUUAAGCGGAACAAGACAGAGAUCUGUUGAUCUGCCCGAAUGCCUCUCUGCGUGCAGCCCCACAUCUCUCUCAUGCCUGCUGGUCUCAGACAUGGAGCAGAAAGGAUGCUGUGCCCCCAAACAGGUGUUCCCCAGCCUGGCUUCCAGAUGUGCCCUUCUCUGCAGAUGGGUGAGCUCCUCCUGGCCUCCAUCACAGGAGGCUGUGAGAGUCUGAAACUGAUCACCUCCUUCUCGGCCAAGAAUGGGGAUGGGGAACCCAAGGCUCAGAGAGAUCACUCCCCGAGUUCACACAGCCACUGAGCACUCACAGGACGGUUAGUGACAGCACUGUGUGGCCAUGGCCUGUCCUGCUGCGGUCUUCAUGGGAAGCCUGUACCCUCCUGCUCAGGGCUACCGAGGGAAGAGCAACUGUCUUCUGCCACGCCUUUUCUCCAUGCUAUUUCUGCCCGAGGUCAGCUGACUUUGAACUGAACCCACUGGAAACACGAGCCAGAAUAAACUUCUCUUCCUUUAAGUCAUAGGCGUCGGGUAUUUUGUCCCUAUGAUGGGAAAAUGACUAAUAAAAAUGCCUGCGGUUUGGGGUAUGACUCUUGGACCGCCUGGUCCAGAAUCAGAACAGCGUCAGUCUCCCAGCAGCCCCUACUGCGCCAGCUAUACCUCCGCCUCCCUGAAGACAGCCGACUGUUACAGUGGGAGCUCCUGCUUUCCCUCCACGUUUUGCCAUCUCCAAAUGAGAGUUUCGUUCACUUUACGCUUUGGACUUUGUGUGAGCCAUGUUAUACAGCAGCCCUUCUUUUAGGUCUGGCUUCUUAUAUUUCACCUGUGUGCUGGGAUCCUUCACACUGUAAGAUGGAGCCAAACUUGGCUCAUUUACUUUGCUGUAUUGUAUUCCAUUUCAAGAGCAUGCCAUAGUUUUUAUCUAGCUAAGCUGUGGAUGGAAUAGGUUAUUUUAAAAAUAAAAAGUCACAUGCAUAGGGGCUGGGGAUUUAGCUCAGCGGCAUAAGCGCCUGCCUUGCAAGCAGGCAGUUGUGAGUUCGAUCCCCGGUACCGAUAAAAAAGAAAAAGACCAAAAAAAAAAAAAAAAGGCACAUGCAUGGAGGUAAAUUGACUAAAAUAUUUAAAAAUGCAAA